ACCGCGGAGGCCUCAGUGUCUCCUCUCCUUUGGGAGAACGGAAGGACGCCUGCGACCUACGUAACAUUUAAGAGUUAAAAUAAAGACCCUGAUGCUGGGAAAGAUUGAAGGCAGCAGGAGAAGGAGACGACAGAGGAUGAGAUGGUUGGAUGGCAUCACCGACUCGAUGGACAUGAGUUUGAGCAAGCUCCAGGAGUUGGUGAUGGACAGGGAAGCCUGGCGUGCUGCAGUCCAUGGGGUUGGAAAGAGUCAGACAUGACUGAGCAACUGAACAUUGAGAGAUAAAUUUGAAGGCUAUUGAGAAUAUGGGGCUGGAGGCCAUUGACCUGCAUGGUCCCGUGAAACUGAGCCGUGAGGUUGAGGGCUUCAGAGAGGUGGUAAGGAGUAAGGAUAUCCCAGACAAGAAUAUUAGAAUGGGUUUCCAUUUCCUCCUCCAGUGGAUCUUC